UACAGAGGUCCCAAGCGUUGUUCGGAUUCAUUGGGCGUAAAGGGUGCGUAGGCGGCGCGGUAAGUCGGGUGUGAAAUCUCGGGCUUAACUCCGAAACUGCAUCGAUACUGCCGUGCUUGAGGACUGGAGAGGAGACUGGAAUUUACGGUGUAGCGGUGAAAUGCGUAGAUAUCUGGAGGAAUACCGGUGGCGAAGGCGGCAUCCUGGACCGAGAUUGACGCUGAUGAGCGAAAGCUAGGGAGCAACAGG
rnacentral:rRNA from 1 species